rnacentral:rRNA from 1 species
CGUGGGUGACCUGCCCCCUACUCUGGGAUAAGCCCGCGAAAGUGGGUCUAAUACCGGAUAUGACUGCUGGUUGCAUGACUGGUGGUGGAAAGUUUUUCGGUGGGGGAUGGGCCCGCGGCCUAUCAGCUUGUUGGUGGGGUGAUGGCCUACCAAGGCGACGACGGGUAGCCGGCCUGAGAGGGCGACCGGCCACACUGGGACUGAGACACGGCCCAGACUCCUACGGGAGGCAGCAGUGGGGAAUAUUGCGCAAUGGGCGGAAGCCUGACGCAGCGACGCCGCGUGGGGGAUGACGGCCUUCGGGUUGUAAACCUCUUUCGCCCCCGACGAAGCGGGAGUGACGGUAGGGGGAGAAGAAGCACCGGCCAACUACGUGCCAGCAGCCGCGGUAACACGUAGGGUGCGAGCGUUGUCCGGAAUUAUUGGGCGUAAAGAGCUCGUAGGCGGUGUGUCGCGUCGGCCGUGAAAACUUGCAGCUUAACU